UUUUUCUGUAGGUCAAAGGGCCGUUGGGGCUGGAUUUCGCCGUCGCAACACCGAACUACUGGGUGCACAAGGGCAUUGCCUUCAUCUGCGAGAUCAGGUUUUCUUCCCUCUCCUGUUUUGAUCUGUCAUGGUUCAACGUGGUAGAAGCGGUAGAACUGAGUGCUUGCCCGUUCGGUCAGAUUUGAUCAAGCACAUCUAAUUUGGUCUCGGUCUCUUGAAGUAGUAUAGUGGCACAAAUUUCAUGCCCCUUUUGCUCCUAUACGAGUUAUAUUCUUAGAUGUGCUUGAUUAAUCUACGCAUUCAUUCUAUCAUUUUUUCAGUUUUAAGAUUGGAAGCUAAUAUCAAGUGUCUGUGUACACAAUUUUGCUAGGAAUCGGAUCCUGUUUAAUAUAUAAGUUACUGGCCAAUGAUUAUGGAUCUUUCUGGUAGAACGAUCUGAUCCGCGCGUCUGUAUUCCGUAAAGUUCUUACGAUGAUUUUUAUUUUGUGUAUCUGAUGCCACAUUAUGGGUAAAUCCGGAGAUCUAUUUUAUAAAAAGUAGUAAUAUGGUCUGGUGCUGCUGGGUAAAUCUUGAGAUCUAUUUUGUAAAAAGUAGUAAUCUGAACACCUUUUUGGACUGUCUUAUAAGUGGCUUCUAUAUUUCACUGCACAUUUCAGCAAAUGGAACCAGCGAAACAGAUAAAGGUCAUGAAAGGAUUCUAGAAACGAUCAACACAGUUGGACAUGACGGUAAUAACAUUGACACUGCUGAUUUUUGUUUAUGUUACUUGAAAGUUUAAAGAUCUCUUGUGUCAUAUAAUUUAUGCUAUGAUGAUUUGGUGGUUUUUUAGACUGAGAUUUUCAACUGUUGUUGACAGGAGUGCCUUAAUACCUAUCAAAGCUUUCGUGCUUUUGCUAUAAACAGAUGUUGCAAAUAUGUUGUUUGAUCAUGCUAUUGGAUGUUGCUUCCACCAAAUACUCUCUUUGCAAAACACUGCUUUAGCCUAAUUAAGGGCUUCAAAUAUUUGAUCUUUUGGAUUCAACCUAGGUGCUUUGUGAAGCUAACAUUGAUUAUAUGAGUUUGAAGCUAAGCCAAUUGUUAGAUCUCAUGUAUUCAUGCUUUGAAUUUUAUCAGUCUUUUUAGGUGCCAGUGUUUCAAAAAAACUUGUUUAUGCCUAUUGCCUAACAUAAUAUGUCGCCCAUGCCUGCUAUUAAAUUGUUGAAUGAACACACUUGUAAAACAACAAUGCAGGCAUGUUUUACACUCAGAUCACACAACACAUUCCUCCUAAUUUUGUUUCUCUAAAAUCUGUUUUUCCAUUUCCUUUUCCUUCCAGUGCUACCAUCUAGAUAGAUGAUGAACAAUGACAUGCUGGGGACAUGAAUGGAUCGUUUCUUAUGUUUGUCUAUCCUCUGCGGUGUAUGAUUGAAUGGAUGUGUGUCCGUGGGUGCAGGAGGAGGCAAGGCUUGUUGGGCAGUUGUGCAGUGCCAUGCUGGCCAAUCUGAUCGGUUGUUGCCGUGAGAG
rnacentral:lncRNA from 1 species